UACGGAGGAUCCAAGCGUUAUCCGGAAUCAUUGGGUUUAAAGGGUCCGUAGGCGGUUUGUCGCGUCUGCUGUGAAAACCCGAGGCUCAACCUCGGGCCUGCAGUGGGUACGGGCAGACUAGAGUGCGGUAGGGGAGAUUGGAAUUCCUGGUGUAGCGGUGGAAUGCGCAGAUAUCAGGAGGAACACCGAUGGCGAAGGCAGAUCUCUUGGCCGUAACUGACGCUGAGGAGCGAAAGCAUGGGGAGCGAACAGG
rnacentral:rRNA from 1 species